rnacentral:rRNA from 1 species
UCGGAUUCAUUGGGCGUAAAGGGUGUGUAGGUGGCGCGCUAAGUCGGGUGUGAAAUUUCGGAGCUUAACUCCGAAACUGCAUUCGAUACUGGCGUGCUUGAGGACUGGAGAGGAGACUGGAAUUUACGGUGUAGCAGUGAAAUGCGUAGAUAUCGUAAGGAAGACCAGUGGCGAAGGCGGGUCUCUGGACAGUUCCUGACACUGAGACACGAAGGCCAGGGGAGCAAACGGG